AUUUGUUUCUCCUAGAAACAUCCAGCAGAGAAGUCUUUAGGGGAGUCAGUCAAAUUGGAAUAAAGAGCCACAACUGCUCCGGGAUAAUCGUUUUGAUAUCUGUUGUCAAGCCUCUGAAUAUCAAAAAGGAAAGCUCUUCAGAGAAUCAUGUCCCAUCUUGGUUGGACUCCCUCCUUAGUUAUUAUUUUAGGGUUCGACGGAAAUAGGAAGAUUGGCUGUUGAUGAGAAAUGAAUAGAAAAUUGAUCUACGAGAUUCCCGCUUCUUCUUGACUGUGGUGACUUGCAACAUCCUAGACAGAAGUACCGUCAAACAUAAGCUCGGAGAUGCGUGCACACCCAGGACAGAAGCCUGGACAGGAUGGCUUCCAGACCACACUCAGCAACCCUCGCAUGCCGUGACUGUGCCUUUCCAUAUUCUUGCAAGCUGAAGUUACUGAACCACUUUACUGGUUUGCUUAGAUUUUAGUGACUAUGUCUGUCUCUGUUCACAUGAUAAAACAGGCUGGGAAAGUUAUUGUGUCAUGUAAAGAAAAAUUCAACCUUCAUAGAAUCCUUCUGGGCAGUCUUCUAGCUCUGCCCCUCUUUAUCUAACUGCCCCUCUCUACCGGUAAAAUAAAAUAGAAUAUAGCCCACAGCAUA
ensembl:processed_transcript Gm16096 predicted gene 16096